AAAAAAAAAAAAAUUGAAAAAAAGAAAUCAGCCAGUCUGGGAACAAAAGCAAUACAAAUGGUACAAAGAACGUCUGGCACAGUGGCCACACACGCCUAUGAGCCUGCACCCAAGCGGCAGCAGCAGGACUGAAGAAAGCUUGAGGGCACCCUACACGGCUAUCUCAGAGGCGAAGUGUUCACAGGUCUCUCACCGGAAGGCUUCUAGGAGGACACACACAUUUCAGUGUAUGCUGGCAGUGUUCAGGGUAAAUGGGAAGCGGGCAGAGAGAGAGGUCUUAGCUUAGUCACUAUGUGGUUUUCCUGCUGCACUUUCUAAUUCCUGGUACCAAGUAACUUGAUCAAGGUUGACACCUUUAAAUGAGCAGGAACAACUUUGGGGAUGCCUCUAGUUCUUUUCUUCUGUUUUAUUUAUUUAUUUAGUGUGUGUCUUGUAUAUGCACUUGUGUUGGAGUGUGCAGAGGGGAGUAGCUAUCCCAUUGUAGCCCUCUUGCCUUAUUUUGAGACAGAGGUUUUGUCUUGUUUUGUUUUGAGACAGUUUCUGUGUAGCCCUGGCUAUCCUGGAAUUUCCACUGAAGAUCAGGCCGGCCUCGAACUCCUAUUUGCCUGCCUCAGUCUCAAGUGCAGGGAUCAAAGAUGUGUGCUACCAUGUCUGCGUAGGACAAAGGAGGGUGUUACAUCUGCUAGAUCUGGAGUGGUAGGCAGUUGUACAGGUGCCGGGAAUUGAACUCGGGUACUUUGCAAGGGCAGCAAACGCUUUUAGCCCUGAGUCGUUGUUCUCUCAAGUUCUUCCUUUUUAUGUCCUCCUCCUAUUUUUAACUUUUUUUUUUUUUUGAUAGUCCUGACGCCUCAGUUCUAGACAAGAAACAUAAUGAUGUGGUGAGGGGUGACCCCUCAGGUGGCUAUCACCCCUAUCCCACCCUCACCCCAGUCCACAGGAUGUCCACAAAUGGGGAAAAACCCAGGAAGGCAGCAUGCCAAGGCCUCCAUCAACCAUGUCCCACAAGAACCCUGGCUCCACGGUCUCAUCGAUGUCAUUUCACCUCAAUGGGUUGCAGCUUCAAGGUGGCCUCCCACUACCCAGCUCAGGGCCACCUCGGUCAGAAAACACCACUGCCAUUUCCCAGUCCCCAGUGCCAGACAUGCUAAAUGGGUGGCGGGGCUGAGCACCCAAGCAAUGCUGGACUUGGUUUUGUAGUGCCAGGGAUGGAGCCUGGGACCUCACACACAGGAGGCAAACAGAAUUACUGAGCCUCAAGCUCAUCCCAGUUGACUUCCAAUGCCAGCGAUUCCCAGUCUUGCAAUCACUGGGCACAGGCAAAGGCAGGGCCGAGGCCAUGGGGUCAAGUCUGUGACGUAAUCCCAGCUUCUGGCUUACACUAGGAUGUGAACUCUGGCCUUCAGGAAAUGGACAAACAUCCCAUUAGCAAAGACUACAAAACAAACCUCAGCACUUUUAUUUCUAUUACUGUUUACAAGGUCCAAGAUUUCUGCACUUUAACACUGGAUGCCCUUCCCCACCCACCCAGGGGACACUGUCGGCAUCAUCGUGUCCCCUCUAGAACUUCCCCCCAUGCUGGGGCCCCCUCCUCUCUUGCCCACCUUCACUGCAGGGAGAGCUUUCAAGCCUGGAGGGGGUACUAGUGGCUUCCCGUGCCUGCACGGGCGUCAAGUGUGGCACACUGGCCAGGCUCCUGUGGUGCCUGGCCUGAUGGAGAUGAGCUGGAGAUGGCAGCAGGGUGUCUUGGUUUCCUCAGACAGCUCUGGACUGGUCUGAGAGGAGGCACCCAUCUACUGCUGCUGGUGGAAGGGGAAGGGACAUCAGAAUUCACAGUUGUUUGCUCUGCAAAGUGCUUGUCGGUGGUGGCUGCUUCUGCCAAGUCAUCCAUUUAAAUCCGGGAGAGGGGACAGAUGGGACACUGGGAUGGGGGUGGUGUCCCUUGGAAGGCAGCCAGGAAAGGCUGACUGUGGAAUAAGGGUCCCCAGGGGCCUUCAAGGUCUUGCGAGAAAAAUCAGUCUGCUGCUGAUGGUUUGGCCAGAGAGCCCAGAGGAAAGCGUCAAAUCUUAAGAAAUGUAAGCCAAUCCCCCCAGUCUCCAAUGUGAGGUCCAAGGAGUGGAGCCAUGCGGCCCAGGGAAAGAGAACCUUGGUAUAUGCAUCUUACUGGGUGGAGCCUGGUGUCACCUAAGAAAGGCUCAGGUUUUUUUGUUUUUGUUUGUUUGUUUUUGGCAAGCAUUCUUGGCAGAACCCAAGGGAUAAGGAGGUCAGGAUGCCAGCCUCCGUGUGGCAAUACCAUCUAGAGGGACAGAUUGACUCUGGCUCCACAGUGAGGUCCUCAAGACCCAAAUACAGAGUUCACCAACAGCCACUCCUUACUCUUCAGACAGCAGGGAGACCACCACGGGCUCCAACUCUCCAGAGACAGUGUGUUCUUUGGAUAUGUUUGGCCCCUCUCCCAGGCCCCACACCACCAGGCAUGGGAGAAAAGGGUAUGAGGGCAAAGGAGACAGAAGAACUGAACCCCUACUCAGGUAACCAAAGAACAGGCUGCCCAGCAGAACAGGCUCUAGGGGAACUGGGCACACAGACCAGCUGUGAGUCCAACUUUCACAUUGAUGGGUGGGAGGCAGGUUGGGGGGCUGAUGAAACUGGAGAAUGAGGAAGGAGGGAAGGCGGGAAGGCAAACUUCCUGGAGUGCUAGUCCCUGGAGGUCCUUACUCCUCUCCCACACAGGCAGCCAGGGGCUUCCCAGUCCAGGAAGGCAGCUUUUGUGGUGCCUGGGGCCCAGCCUUAGCUCUGUAGCCUUCCUCUGCUUUUAGGAGCAGGGGAAGAAAAGGGGAUGUGGCCCUUGGCCUUUCCGAAUCUUCUUCCAGCUCCAGGUACAGAGCUCAGACCCCAAAGUCAGUGCGACGGUCCUGUUCAGUCCAGUGAGGAAAAGGAAAAUGUGGCUUGCCCUGAUGGCUGCCUGGGGCCACAGACAUGCCCAUCCCCAGCAUGUGGUGGAUAGACAUGAGACAGAAAGGGUCCUUCCCAGAUCUGUCUCCAGACACAGAAGUCCUUGCACAGAGGACGGUGGACCAGGGUCAGCUGCUCCUGGUGCUGGUCCUGCGUACGGGGUAGUCAGGUCAUGUAGCGGGUGAUGGCGCGCAGGGCAUAGAGCAGGGCCGCUUGCAUGCGGGCUUCAAGGAGCAGCAAGUUCACAUGAACCUGGGGAUGGGAGAGGACGAGGCUGGCUGACAACUCAUCUUCCAGUCGACCGGUUCCCUGCCACUCACUCCACCAGCGCCUCCCACCAAGAUGCCCUGGCCUUUCUGCUAAAACUCAGCACAAUCUCGUAGAGAUGAUUGCUUUGCCUCCCAAGUCUGAAAAGAAGAGCUUCCAGCUAACUGGUUCUAAGGCUGGAUCAAAUGUCUCCAUCCAUAGUGUCAUUUUGUCCCUUGUCAUUAUAAAGGGGAGACACUCAGAGGUAACUUGCCCAAAGUCACACUGCUCCUACGUGAGGAUUAAGACCCACACCUAGGGCCAGGUGGUGGUGGUGGCUCAUGCUAGCACCCAGGGGGCAGAGGCGGGCAGAUAUCUGUGAGUUUGAGGCCAGCCUGGUCUACAGAGUGAGUUCCAGGACAAAUCAAGGUUACACAGAAAAAAGUCUC
rnacentral:lncRNA from 1 species